ACUGGCGGCCGGCGCACGGGUGAGUAACACGUAUCCAACCUGCCUCAUACUCGGGGAUAGCCUUUCGAAAGAAAGAUUAAUACCCGAUGGUAUAAUCAGACCGCAUGGUUUGAUUAUUAAAGAAUUUCGGUUAUCGAUGGGGAUGCGUUCCAUUAGGCAGUUGGUGAGGUAACGGCUCACCAAACCUUCGAUGGAUAGGGGUUCUGAGAGGAAGGUCCCCCACAUUGGAACUGAGACACGGUCCAA
rnacentral:rRNA from 1 species